GCUGCAACAGCAACCCAGUAAAGACAAACAGCGCCGCCGUCCACCGGUCACCAAUGACCAUCAAAUUAUACCUUCACAAUCCUCUUUUCGUCCUCUUUUCAAACCCCACGAUAGUUUCUACAAAUUCGUAGCCGAAUUUCCUCAAUUUCAUAUCUAAGAAACGGCGACUGCGAGAUUUCCAGCGAAACUUGCCGGAAUUGGAGCUCGACCCAAGAGGUAAAAAUGAUCCACUCCUCGUGGGCUGUCCUCAAGUGUAAGUGUUUUUAAUCCCAAAAUCAAAGCUUUAAGUUUUGGGAUCGAUUUCUAUAUUUGGAAUUUUAAUUCCAGUUUGUGUAUGCAUGUGGAAGAUUGGGGAGGAGGAAGGUGAAUCAAGGUUGUUUCCAAGCUCGACCGAGAAGAAUGGGAGGAGGAGGUUGUGGGUAAAAUUAAGCAUUGGCAUGGCAUUAACAAAAACCAAAUUGGACUGGGGACAUGUAAAUUACCUGAGGAAAUGAGAUGAUGCCUUUUAUUCUCUUUGUGUUCUGCGAGAGGCCCUUGAUCAACAUUUAUGUGACUGUCCUUGUUGAUGGAAGGAAGGGGUUUUAUGCGGAUACCUAUCAAGAUAAGAAUACAAGCCCAAUCAUUAAUUCAAUGAAAUAUUCCUCUCAAGCAA